UUAGUAGAGAUGGGAUUUCAGUAUGUUGGCCAGGCUGGUCUCAAACUCCUAACCUUGUGAUCCACCCACCUCAGCCUCCCAAAGUGCUGGGAUUACAGGCGUGAACCACCACGCCCGGCCUACAUCCACUAACUUCUAAAGGCAGUUAUGGUCAUGUGGCCAGAUCUGAUGAAUCAGAUGUGGCAGAAAGGAUGCGAAGAAGCUCUGAGCAGGUGCCCUCCCUCUACAUGUUCCCACCAUCCUGCGUCCUUGUGCUGCGCCGGACCAGGCAUGCAAGAACAACACACCAAGGAUGGCGGAGCAACAAGAUAGAAGAGGCCUGAGUCCCAGGAUGACUGCCUGGAGCACAGCUGUCUGCCUGCUC
rnacentral:lncRNA from 10 species